CAACAGUUUGACUCUUGUCCUAACCUUUUUUCAGAUUCAGAUGGAUUAAAUCUGUGCCAGAGGGCCCCAUCCUGGGUGAGGGGAUUCCCCCAACCAGGAAGUUAAAGCUGAGAGCAGCAGUCAAGGCCAAGUGGGCGAGGUGGUCCGCUUGCAAUCUAUCCUAGCCGAGCAUAUCCGUGCCAGGUGCUGUUGCUGCCCUAGGUACGCCAAGGAACAGAGGAGGGCAGGU